AACUCCGUGCCUAAUACAUGCAAGUCGAGCGGACAGAAGGGAGCUUGCUCCCGGAUGUUAGCGGCGGACGGGUGAGUAACACGUGGGUAACCUGCCUGUAAGACUGGGAUAACUCCGGGAAACCGGAGCUAAUACCGGAUAGUUCCUUGAACCGCAUGGUUCAAGGAUGAAAGACGGUUUCGGCUGUCACUUACAGAUGGACCCGCGGCGCAUUAGCUAGUUGGUGGGGUAAUGGCUCACCAAGGCGACGAUGCGUAGCCGACCUGAGAGGGUGAUCGGCCACACUGGGACUGAGACACGGCCCAGACUCCUACGGGAGGCAGCAGUAGGGAAUCUUCCGCAAUGGACGAAAGUCUGACGGAGCAACGCCGCGUGAGUGAUGAAGGUUUUCGGAUCGUAAAGCUCUGUUGUUAGGGAAGAACAAGUGCGAGAGUAACUGCUCGCACCUUGACGGUACCUAACCAGAAAGCCACGGCUAACUACGUGCCAGCAGCCGCGGUAAUACGUAGGUGGCAAGCGUUGUCCGGAAUUAUUGGGCGUAAAGGGCUCGCAGGCGGUUUCUUAAGUCUGAUGUGAAAGCCCCCGGCUCAACCGGGGAGGGUCAUUGGAAACUGGGAAACUUGAGUGCAGAAGAGGAGAGUGGAAUUCCACGUGUAGCGGUGAAAUGCGUAGAGAUGUGGAGGAACACCAGUGGCGAAGGCGACUCUCUGGUCUGUAACUGACGCUGAGGAGCGAAAGCGUGGGGAGCGAACAGGAUUAGAUACCCUGGUAGUCCACGCCGUAAACGAUGAGUGCUAAGUGUUAGGGGGUUUCCGCCCCUUAGUGCUGCAGCUAACGCAUUAAGCACUCCGCCUGGGGAGUACGGUCGCAAGACUGAAACUCAAAGGAAUUGACGGGGGCCCGCACAAGCGGUGGAGCAUGUGGUUUAAUUUCGAAGCAACGCGAGAACCUUACCAGGUCUUGACAUCCUCUGACAACCCUAGAGAUAGGGCUUUCCCUUCGGGGACAGAGUGACAGGUGGUGCAUGGGUCGUCAGCUCGUGUCGUGAGAGUUGGG
rnacentral:rRNA from 1 species